AACGAACGCUGGCGGCAUGCCUAACACAUGCAAGUCGAACGAGACCUUCGGGUCUAGUGGCGCACGGGUGCGUAACGCGUGGGAACCUGCCCUUAGGUUCGGAAUAACUCCCCGAAAGGGGUGCUAAUACCGGAUAAUGUCUUCGGACCAAAGAUUUAUCGCCUUUGGUUGGGCCCGCGUUGGAUUAGCUGGUUGGUAGGGUAAAAGCCAACAAAGGCGCGAUCCCAUACGUGGUAGGAGAGGAGGUCAACCCACCGGGGGACGGAGACACGGCCCAGACCCAUAGGGGAGGAGGAAGGGGGGAAGAUUGAAAAAGGGGGGAAGGCUUAAGCAAGAAAGGCCGGGGGAGUGAGGAAGGCCGUGGGGUUGAAAAUCUUUUUUACCGGGGAGGAAAAGGACGGUACGGGGAAAAUAAGCCCCGGCUACCCCCGUC
rnacentral:rRNA from 1 species